AUUGAACGCUGGCGGCAGGCCUAACACAUGCAAGUCGAACGAGUGGCGGACGGGUGAGUAAUGUCUGGGAAACUGCCUGAUGGAGGGGGAUAACUACUGGAAACGGUAGCUAAUACCGCAUACCAUCGGAUGUGCCCAGAUGGGAUUAGCUAGUAGGGGGGGUAAAGGCUCACCUAGGCGACGAUCCCUAGCUGGUCUGUGAGGAUGACCGGCGACACGGGAACUGAGACACGGUCCAAACUCUUACGGGAGCAAGCAGAGGGUAAUAUGACACAAUGGGGGCAAGACUGAUGUAGCCAUGCGGCGGGUAGGAAGAAGGCUUUCGGGUUGGAAAGUACUUUUAGCGGGGAGACGUUACUCCCAGACGAAGCUACGGCUAACCCCGUGCAAGCAGCCGCGGUAAUAC
rnacentral:rRNA from 1 species